rnacentral:rRNA from 1 species
UUGAACGCUGGCGGCAGGCCUAACACAUGCAAGUCGAACGGUAACAGGAAGAAGCUUGCUUCUUUGCUGACGAGUGGCGGACGGGUGAGUAAUGUCUGGGAAACUGCCUGAUGGAGGGGGAUAACUACUGGAAACGGUAGCUAAUACCGCAUAACGUCGCACGACCAAAGAGGGGGACCUUCGGGCCUCUUGCCAUCGGAUGUGCCCAGAUGGGAUUAGCUAGUAGGUGGGUUAACGGCUCACCUAGGCGACGAUCCCUAGCUGGUCUGAGAGGAUGACCAGCCACACUGGAACUGAGACACGGUCCAGACUCCUACGGGAGGCAGCAGUGGGGAAUAUUGCACAAUGGGCGCAAGCCUGAUGCAGCCAUGCCGCGUGUAUGAAGAAGGCCUUCGGGUUGUAAAGUACUUUCAGCGGGGAGGAAGGGAGUAAAGUUAAUACCUUUGCUCAUUGACGUUACCCGCAGAAGAAGCACCGGCUAACUCCGUG